UAGUUGGUAAGGUAACGGCUUACCAAGGCGACGAUCAGUAGCCGACCUGAGAGGGUGAUCGGCCACAUUGGAACUGAGACACGGUCCAAACUCCUACGGGAGGCAGCAGUGGGGCAUAUUGCACAAUGGGCGAAAGCCUGAUGCAGCAACGCCGCGUGAGUGAUGAAGGCCUUCGGGUCGUAAAACUCUGUCCUCAAGGAAGAUAAUGACGGUACUUGAGGAGGAAGCCCCGGCUAACUACGUGCCAGCAGCCGCGGUAAUACGUAGGGGGCUAGCGUUAUCCGGAUUUACUGGGCGUAA
rnacentral:rRNA from 1 species